rnacentral:tRNA from 1 species
GUUUCCGUAGUGUAGCGGUUAUCACGUGUGCUUCACACGCACAAGGUCCCCGGUUCGAUCCCGGGCGGAAAUA